AAUUCCAAAUAGCAUCAUGUUGUCGAUGAGUACGAGGCAACCCUGUAAUGAAGUCCAUAUUCACUAUAUCCCACUUCCAAGUAGGAAUGUUAAUUUCCCAAAGCAUACCACCAGGUCUCUAGUGCUGAACCUUAACUUGGUGGCAAUUUGGACACUUAGCCAUAAAUUUUGCGAUAUUUUUUUUCAUGCCAUUUCACCAAUAGACUUU
rnacentral:lncRNA from 1 species